rnacentral:rRNA from 1 species
UACAGAGGUCUCGAACGUUGUUCGGAUUCAUUGGGCGUAAAGGGUGCGUAGGUGGCGCUGUAAGUCGGGUGUGAAAUCCUGAGGCUUAACCUCGGAACUGCAUUCGAUACUGCGGCGCUUGAGGACUGGAGAGGAGACUGGAAUUCAUGGUGUAGCAGUGAAAUGCGUAGAGAUCAUGAGGAAGACCAGUGGCGAAGGCGGGUCUCUGGACAGUUCCUGACACUGAGGCACGAAGGCCAGGGGAGCAAACGGG